UGAGCAAUCUGCCCUUCUCUUCGGAAUAAGCGUGGGAAACCGCGUCUAAUGCCGAAUACGACCUCCUUUCGCAUGAUCGGAGGUGGAAAGCUCCGGCGGAGAAGGAUGAGCUCGCGGCCUAUCAGCUAGUUGGUGUGGGUAACGGCCCACCAAGGCGACGACGGGUAGCCGGCCUGAGGAGGGUGACCGGCCACACUGGGACUGAGACACGGCCCAGACCUCCGUACGGGAGGNAGCG
rnacentral:rRNA from 1 species